CAACUUUUUCUUUCGAGAAUCAUCAAAAGUUUCGCGGAAUAAUCUCGUUUCGAAGCAAAGGUAAAGAGUUUUGCUUGAGAAAGACUACAAUGGAAGAAAAGUUCAAGCCAACCGAAGUUUUGGUUCUAGCCAAUCAAAAUAUUGGAAGCUACAACCUUUCCCACAGAGUUUGAUCUAUCAAAAACACCAUGGCAGGUUUGUAUAUAAAUCUAGAACUUGGGAGCUACAUCGUCGUCUUGGGCGCUAGAAGCAAGCGUCUAGCAAACAACAGCAACACAAGGCCGCCAAACUGGAAGAAAAAAAAAGGAUCAAACAAAGAAAAAAUGCAAAAAAAAAAAAGGGAAGAGCUUCGAGCGAAGCGAGGCUCCAGAAACUAUAAAUUUACCAUCCCUCGAUGAACGAUGGGCCUUUGUUGUUUUGAUGAUACUGCUCCUGGUUAUAUCCCGGCUGUUGGACUGGAUAGCCCGCUGGAGGAUAGCCUUGCGGAGGAUAUCCCUGGGGAGGAUAGCCUUGCGGAGGAUAGCCCUGGGCGGGAUACGCUUCAUACCCUGCCAAAACACCCCAGAUCUCUCAGAUAUCCAGGAUUUCUCCGCGAUCAGGGUAAAAUCGUCGCAAAGAUCUCGCGAUUUCUCGCGGCGCUUACCUUGAGCAUAGCCUUGCGGCGGCGGCGCUUGCACUGGCGGCUUCUGAUCGUAGUAGCUCAUCCUCUCCUCCGCCAAGAAAUCGAAUCGAUCGAAAGCAAAACGAACGAGUAAGUGGUGCGUGUACCCGUUAUAAAAGGGGCCAAAAACGCGGAAUGGCUAUUCCUAGGCUUGACGGACGGUCGAGAUUCGCGGAGGC
rnacentral:lncRNA from 1 species